AAUGAACGCUGGCGGCGCGCCUUACACAUGCAAGUCGAACGGCAAGACAGGAGCUUGCUUCUCUUCUAGAUUGCCGGAGUCGUGAGGAACACGUGUAUAUCCUACCCUUAAUAUUGGGGUAGCUUCUCGUAAUAGCAGGUAAUAUCGAAUACACUACGCCUAUCACAAGAGGUCUUGAGAAAAUGAAGCCUUGGCUUCGCGUAAGGACCGGUUUCCGUCGCAUUAGUUAGUUGGGGAGGUAAAGGCCCACCAAGGCGACGAUGGGUAUCCGGACUGAGAGGGUGAUCGGCCACACUGGAACUGAGACACGGUCCAGACUCCUACGGGAGGCAGCAGUUGGGAAUAUUCCGCAAUGGGCGGAAGUCUGACGGAGCGACGCCGCGUGGGUGAAGAAGGCUGUAGGGUUGUAAAACCCUUUUGUUGGGGAAGAAAAAGGGUGGGAGAAAAUGCUCAUGUGCUGACGGUAAUCAAAGAAUAAGCCCCGGCUAAUUACGUG
rnacentral:rRNA from 1 species